rnacentral:rRNA from 1 species
AGUGAACGCUGGCGGUAGGCCUAACACAUGCAAGUCGAACGGCAGCACAGUAAGAGCUUGCUCUUACGGGUGGCGAGUGGCGGACGGGUGAGGAAUACAUCGGAAUCUACUUUUUCGUGGGGGAUAACGUAGGGAAGCUUACGCUAAUACCGCAUACGACCUACGGGUGAAAGCAGGGGAUCUUCGGACCUUGCGCGAUUGAAUGAGCCGAUGUCGGAUUAGCUAGUUGGCGGGGUAAAGGCCCACCAAGGCGACGAUCCGUAGCUGGUCUGAGAGGAUGAUCAGCCACACUGGAACUGAGACACGGUCCAGACUCCUACGGGAGGCAGCAGUGGGGAAUAUUGGACAAUGGGCGCAAGCCUGAUCCAGCCAUACCGCGUGGGUGAAGAAGGCCUUCGGGUUGUAAAGCCCUUUUGUUGGGAAAGAAAAGCAGCAGGUUAAUACCCCGCUGUUCUGACGGUACCCAAAGAAUAAGCACCGGCUAACUUCGUU